GCCAUCCCUACUGAGAUGGAUCAGACGGUAGAGUAUGAGAUUCUUCACCUCAGGGUUGUGGGUUCAAGCCCCACGUUGGGCG